GCUGUCGCCGCCGCCGCUCCUCGUGCUGUUGGAGCAGUUUCCCGGCGCCACUCCAGCCUCGGCCUCCGCCUCCUCGCCGAACUCCCGGAAGGUCGUGAAAUUAGUGACGAAUCGGGGUGUGUGGCUGCCACGACGGUGUGCCGAAACUCAGUAUCCGGAAUUCCGGCAGAUUCGUAUUCUUGAGAUAAGUUGUUAACUUGUGCUUACUAUAGGUGUAGAACUUGGUUUCUCUAUUUUAUGAACUCGAUGAAU